CACGUNAUGGUGGGGACUCAUAGGAGACNGCCGGGGUCAACUCGGAGGAAGGUGGGGACGACGUCAAGUCAUCAUGCCCCUUAUGUCUUGGGCUNCACNCAUGCUACAAUGGCCGGUACAAAGGGNUGCGAUACNGUGAGGUGGAGCNAAUCCCAAAAAGCCGGUCUCAGUUCGGAUUGGGGUCUGCAACUCGACCCCAUGAAGUCGGAGUCGCUAGUAAUCGCAGAUCAGCAACGCUGCGGUGAAUA
rnacentral:rRNA from 1 species